rnacentral:rRNA from 1 species
UACGUAGGGUGCAAGCGUUGUCCGGAAUUAUUGGGCGUAAAGAGCGUGUAGGCGGCCCCAUUAGUCCGCUGUGAAAGUCCAGGGCUCAACCCUGGAAUGCCGAUGGAAACCAUGUGGCUAGAGUCCGGAAGAGGAGAGUGGAAUUCCUGGUGUAGCGGUGAAAUGCGCAGAUAUCAGGAAGAACACCCGUGGCUAAGGCGGCUCUCUAGUACGGUACUGACGCUGAGACGCGAAAGCGUGGGGAGCGAACAGG